UAUUUUAGUCUUAUUAGAGGANCCUGUUUUUUAAUUGAUAAUCCACGAUUAAUUUUACUUAUUUUAAAUAAUUCAUAUAUCGCUGUCAUGAAUAUAUUUAAAAAUUUAUUUUCUUUAUUUAUUAUUAUAAUUUAUGUUAAGUCAAGAUGUGGUUAAUAAAUAAGUAUAUAAUGGGUUACAUUAAAUUUUAUUUUUGGAUUUUAAAUGAAAAUUAAAAUGAAAUUGGAUUUAAUAGUAAUUUAUUUAUUUAAUUAAUAUGAAAAAAGUCUAAAAUAUGUACAUAUUGCCCGUCAUUCUUAUUAAAAAUAAGACAAGUCGUAACAAAGUAAGUGUACUGGAAAGUGUAUUUAGAAGA
rnacentral:rRNA from 1 species